rnacentral:rRNA from 1 species
GUGCCAGCAGCCGCGGUAAUACGUAGGGUGCAAGCGUUAAUCGGAAUUACUGGGCGUAAAGCGUGCGCAGGCGGUUAUGUAAGACAGAUGUGAAAUCCCCGGGCUCAACCUGGGAACUGCAUUUGUGACUGCAUAGCUAGAGUACGGUAGAGGGGGAUGGAAUUCCGCGUGUAGCAGUGAAAUGCGUAGAUAUGCGGAGGAACACCGAUGGCGAAGGCAAUCCCCUGGACCUGUACUGACGCUCAUGCACGAAAGCGUGGGGAGCAAACAGGAUUAGAUACCCUGGUAGUCC